GAGGCCGAUUUUUUGAAAAAUUCAAAAUUAAAAAAUUUUGGUUUCAAAAAAUCUGAAAAAAUUUGUACAAGUAAAACAAGAAUGUGAGGCGUAUCUGUGUAAAAUUUUAGGAUGAAAUACGUUGAAAUGUCACCUGUACGAAAAAGACAAAUUCAUGGUCUAGGAAGAUGAAUAGUAUCAUGUGUUAAAAAUCCUCAGAUUUAUCUUUUUUGCACAACCCUCAUUUCAAUGUAUUUCAUCCUAAAAAUUUACACACUUAUGCACUAUGCCUUCAUCUCUCUAUGUAAAUUUUUUUAGAAUUUUAUGAAAUGUAAAAAUAUAAAUUUUCACAAGUUUUGAAUUUUGUAUUUGAAGACCUCCAUGAAGCUCGGCCUCCAAAAGCAUUUAUGUGCAUAAUACUCUUAUGAUAUCUUUUUAUGUAAGAGGUCUAAGGAGCUACACGACCGAAUCAAUCAUGCUAAUGUCGAUCGCCGGCUGCAUGCAACCUUGCCAUGUAUGAGGUCAUUUGUGGUCGAGCCAUCUCUGGUCAAGGGAUGGAGAAAUAGAGAAGAUUGCAUAGUGUAGGUACGGAUGAACUAAUUUUGGACAAGAAGAAGAUAUAGAGAUAGACUGAGAUAAAGCAUGUCAAAUGUUUUGGCUAGGACGACAUCCCAGAUUGACAUGGACAUCUAAAUAUACUAAAUCUAGCCAGGUUUCUUUUAUCUAAUUUUUUAAGUUUUUUUACAGUGGUAAUCAGACCAAUGAGGUGGUGACACGCUAUUUACUAGGGGACCUUGCGGGUCUCCAGACCAAUCUGAUGAUGCUGUUGCGCCACCGUUCCACCGCCGGACGUUUCUAUAAAAGGGCUUGCUUCGACCAUUCGGGCCGUCCCGUACCGCCCCAUUAUUGCAUCACGCUACCGGAGCCCCCCGUCCUGGAUCCCUACUGAUAACACAGGUAGUAGUCCCUCAUUGACUCGGUUUACCUAUCAGAGACGAUCUCUAAAAAUGUGUGAAGACAUUGAAGACAAUUGUGUUCUGUGAAGAUAUUCACAUUGAAGACUAUGACAUGAGAAGACAUCACGUGAAGACUAUAGAGU